rnacentral:lncRNA from 1 species
AUUACCUUGCAGUAGUAAGAAUUAAUUUAAUUUUGAAUUUAUGACUUAUAAUUGUAUAUAUAUAUGAGAUACCUGUGAUGUUUUGAUGGAUUAUAUAUAUUGUGGAAUGAUUAGAUCAAGCUAAUUAGCAUAUCUCCUUAAAUACUUUUUUAAUGAUGAGAAUAUCUAAAAUCUACUCUGCAAUUUUGAAAUAUACAUUGUUACGAACGGUGGGCACCUAAGUGUGCAAUAUGUCACUAAAACUUAUUCCUUCUAAUUGAAAAUCUAUAUUUUUUUUAGAUUAUACUGCGAGAGCAUGUAGUAUUAGUCUCUGUGCCUGACAUAUUUCACUUAUCAUCAUGUCCUCCAGUUUCUUCCAUGUUGUUACAAAUGAAAAACCACCUUCUUAAAAGCUGAAUAGUAUAUUCCAUUCUGUAUAUAUGUCAUAUUUUAUCCAUUCAUCCACUGACAGACAUUUAGGUUGUUUUCAUAUCUUGUUUACCGUGAGCAAUGCUGCAUGCACAAGGCCAGACAUACUGACUUCAGUUCCUUUGGAUAUAUAUAUACAAGAAGUGGGAUUGCUGGUUUAUAUAGUAAUACUAUUUUGAGUUUUUUUGAAGACACCCCCAAUUGUUUUCCAUAAUGGCUAUACUAACUGAUAAUCACACUAUCUGAGCACAAGGGUACUGUUUCUCCAGGUCUUCUCCAAUACUUAUUCUUUCUGUCUUUUUGAAAGUAGUCAAUAUAAUUGGAGUGAGACAAUGUCUCAUUCUGGUUUUAGUUUGCAUUAGAGUAGAUGAGCAUUUUUCAUCUAUUUGUUGGUCAUUCCUGUGUCUUCUUUUGAGAAAUACCUGUUCAGGUUCUUGAGGUUAUGUGUUUUCUUACUGUUGAGUUGCUUGAGUUCCUUAUAUGUUUGGGAUAUUAGCCUAUUAUCAGAUGCGUGGCUUACAAAUAGUUUCUCCCAAUUGUGGAUUGUCUCUUAACACUUGUUU